AUACGGAGGGUGCAAGCGUUGUUCGGAAUCACUGGGCGUAAAGCGCGCGCAGGCGGCUUGAUAAGUUGGAUGUGAAAGCCUACGGCUCAACCGUAGAACUGCAUCCAAAACUGUCAAGCUAGAGUCUGGGAGGGGAAGAUGGAAUUAGUUGUGUAGGGGUAAAAUCCGUAGAGAUAACUAGGAAUACCAAAAGCGAAGGCGAUCUUCUGGAACAGUACUGACGCUGAGGCGCGAAAGCGUGGGGAGCAAACAGGAUUAGAAACCCCUGUAGUCC
rnacentral:rRNA from 1 species